GGAUGCGAUCAUACCAGCACUAAAGCACCGGAUCCCAUCAGAACUCCGAAGGUAAGCGUGCUUGGGCGAGAGUAGUACUAGGAUGGGUGACCUCCUGGGAAGUCCUCGUGUUGCAUUCCC
rnacentral:rRNA from 1 species